GGUGGCGAGUGGCGAACGGGUGAGUAAUACAUCGGAACGUACCCAGAAGUGGGGGAUAACGUAGCGAAAGUUACGCUAGUACCGCAUACGUUCUACGGAAGAAAGUGGGGGAUCGCAAGACCUCAUGCUUUUGGAGCGGCCGAUGUCUGAUUAGCUAGUUGGUGAGGUAAAGGCUCACCAAGGCGACGAUCAGUAGCUGGUCUGAGAGGACGACCAGCCACACUGGAACUGAGACACGGUCCAGACUCUCUACGGGAGGCAGCAGUGGGGAAUUUUGGACUAAUGGGCGCUAAGCUCAUGAUCUCUAGCUAAUGCUCAGCGUGUAGCUGUAAGAAGGCUCUUCGGGUUGUAAAGCUCUUUUGUCUAGGGAAGAAACGGCUGAGGAGCUAAUAUCUCUGUUGCUAAUGACGGUAGCGCUGAA
rnacentral:rRNA from 1 species